rnacentral:lncRNA from 12 species
UGGGCACUGGGUGUUAUAGUAAAUGUUGGCAAAUUGAAUUUAAAUAUUUUUUAAGUGUAUAAUCUACUUGCAUUGUGAUGCUUUGAUUUCAAUGUGGUGUAGUUUCUCAUUUGAUUUGCACAUGUUACUAUUUGAUAAAUAUUGUUAAUUUGAGUGGAAGUGCCUUGUUUGUAUUUUAUCCCCUUCCCAGGGCAGGAGAAAGGGGGAAAUCUCUGGAUCUUCUCCAACCUUGUCUAUCAGGCCUUACUCCUUUCCGUACCCACACUCCGCUUCUGAAUUCCCAUGUGGAUACAGGCAUAAAACUAAAGAACCUACUAGUGAAAUAGGAAACAUCUUCCACUCAACAACCACAAGGCUUCCUUCUGAACAUCAACUUUCUGCUUCCAGAAGAGACUGCCUGAAGCCCAGUCUCCUCUCCACUUUAGUCUGAAGAAGCAAAGAGUAGCAGGAAGGUGAGAGACCCACACUCUGGGGCAGGGGGAAAAAGGUGCCUUGUUUUGUUUUGUUCCUUUCUGAGUGGUCCACAGCUGGAGAGACGGUUGGUCAAACAGGUGCUGGACAGGUAGCUCAGAGCUUCCUUACUGACAAUUAAAGAGCAGUGGAGAAAAAGGUAUUUCCAGGAACUGCAUGCUAAGUAAGCUGCUUCAUGUACCCUCUGCUGCUUUCCACCCCCUCGCACCCCCAAGGUGGUUCUCCAGAGGCAGCAGCUGCUCAAGUUGAGCAAGGUGAAUUGGGGAGAGUACCAUCUUAGGGAAAGUACCUUCAAAUCACCCACAUGGCUUCUGCUACCUUCUCAUGAACACAAGCUUCUUCUAGUAUCUUUUCUAAGGCUGGUCUUCCUGGAGUGAUCCUAGCUACAUUUAAAUCAUGCUAUUAUUAUUCCUAUUUACAGAUGAGAAAUAUUUCCAUGCUCACAUCAUGACCAAGCUAGGAAUUUAGAAUAUGGUGUGCACCCUUUGAGAAAUAUACCUCUCAAGAAUUUUGUGCCAGAUUUCUUCCCUUUGCCCCUCCAGGACUACUCUCCAUCUUUCCUGGUGCCAUGGGUAACUGACCAGAAUGACCACACAAUGGCCCCUUGCCUUCCAGCUUCUAGUUGGUGUUGGCCAGUGGAGAUCCUGGAGGAUAUGAGAUCAAGGAGGAGAGCAGCUUUCCUUCAUACCCAACUGUAUUGGCAUUAGCUGAGUUCAUCAUUAUUCCUCUUUAGAUGGCCCUUUCUACUCAACUCUCCUUCUGGGUUCUGGGCUUUCAGUACACUUAGGAGUGGUAAGAGCUUCCUUGUUACAAGGGCAGGAAUAAGCUUCACUUUCCUUUGUGGUUUCUUGUCCACUUUUAUAAGCAGGCCCUUUGUUAAACCCUGCUCAAAUGUCCUAAUUUCAAAAUACUCUAAUCACGUUUUCUGUUGGAACCUUGAAACAAAUAUCGAUCUUACAUUAAAAAAGAACCACAACUAUUGAAGAGAAAAGAUUUUAUUAAUGCGUUGGUGAGAACUAUAUAUUUCAAAGAUGCAGAAAUUGAUGAAGUGGAAGGGGAGGUGGGUGGGGGUGGGGGUGACUAGGUGGCGGGCACUGACGGGGGCACUUGACGGGAUGAGCACUGGAUGUUACUCUGUAUGUUGACAAAUUGAACACCAAUAAAAAAUAAAUUUAUUAAAAAAUGAAAAAAUG